UUAAGCGACUAAGCGUACACGGUGGAUGCCCUGGCAGUCAGAGGCGAUGAAGGACGUGCUAAUCUGCGAAAAGCGUCGGUAAGGUGAUAUGAACCGUUACAGCCGGCGAUGUCCGAAUGGGGAAACCCAGUGUGAUUCGUCACACUAUCGUUAACUGAAUACAUAGGUUAACGAGGCGAACCGGGGGAACUGAAACAUCUAAGUACCCCGAGGAAAAGAAAUCAACCGAGAUUCCCCCAGUAGCGGCGAGCGAACGGGGAGCAGCCCAGAGUCUGAAUCAGCUUGUGUGUUAGUGGAACGGUCUGGAAAGUCCGACGGUACAGGGUGAUAGUCCCGUACACCAAAAUGCACAGGCUGUGAACUCGAAGAGUAGGGCGGGACACGUGGUAUCCUGUCUGAAUAUGGGGGGACCAUCCUCCAAGGCUAAAUACUCCUGACUGACCGAUAGUGAACCAGUACCGUGAGGGAAAGGCGAAAAGAACCCCGGCGAGGGGAGUGAAAAAGAACCUGAAACCGUGUACGUACAAGCAGUGGGAGCACCUUCGGGUGUGACUGCGUACCUUUUGUAUAAUGGGUCAGCGACUUAUAUUCUGUAGCAAGGUUAACCGUAUAGGGGAGCCGCAGGGAAACCGAGUCUUAACUGGGCGUUAAGUUGCAGGGUAUAGACCCGAAACCCGGUGAUCUAGCCAUGGGCAGGUUGAAGGUUGGGUAACACUAACUGGAGGACCGAACCGACUAAUGUUGAAAAAUUAGCGGAUGACUUGUGGCUGGGGGUGAAAGGCCAAUCAAACCGGGAGAUAGCUGGUUCUCCCCGAAAGCUAUUUAGGUAGCGCCUCGUGAACUCAUCUUCGGGGGUAGAGCACUGUUUCGGCUAGGGGGUCAUCCCGACUUACCAACCCGAUGCAAACUACGAAUACCGAAGAAUGUUAUCACGGGAGACACACGGCGGGUGCUAACGUCCGUCGUGAAGAGGGAAACAACCCAGACCGCCAGCUAAGGUCCCAAAGUCACAGUUAAGUGGGAAACGAUGUGGGAAGGCACAGACAGCCAGGAUGUUGGCUUAGAAGCAGCCAUCAUUUAAAGAAAGCGUAAUAGCUCACUGGUCGAGUCGGCCUGCGCGGAAGAUGUAACGGGGCUAAACUGUGCACCGAAGCUGCGGCAGCGACACUAUGUGUUGUUGGGUAGGGGAGCGUUCUGUAAGCCUGCGAAGGUGGCCUGUGAGGGUUGCUGGAGGUAUCAGAAGUGCGAAUGCUGACAUAAGUAACGAUAAUGCGGGUGAAAAGCCCGCACGCCGGAAGACCAAGGGUUCCUGUCCAACGUUAAUCGGGGCAGGGUGAGUCGACCCCUAAGGCGAGGCCGAAAGGCGUAGUCGAUGGGAAACAGGUUAAUAUUCCUGUACUUGGUGUUACUGCGAAGGGGGGACGGAGAAGGCUAUGUUAGCCGGGCGACGGUUGUCCCGGUUUAAGCAUGUAGGCGGAGGUUCCAGGUAAAUCCGGUACCUUUUUAACGCUGAGGUGUGAUGACGAGGCACUACGGUGCUGAAGUAACAAAUGCCCUGCUUCCAGGAAAAGCCUCUAAGCAUCAGGUAACAUUAAAUCGUACCCCAAACCGACACAGGUGGUCAGGUAGAGAAUACCAAGGCGCUUGAGAGAACUCGGGUGAAGGAACUAGGCAAAAUGGUGCCGUAACUUCGGGAGAAGGCACGCUGAUAUGUAGGUGAAGCCCCUGCGGGUGGAGCUGAAAUCAGUCGAAGAUACCAGCUGGCUGCAACUGUUUAUUAAAAACACAGCACUGUGCAAACACGAAAGUGGACGUAUACGGUGUGACGCCUGCCCGGUGCCGGAAGGUUAAUUGAUGGGGUUAUCCGUAAGGAGAAGCUCUUGAUCGAAGCCCCGGUAAACGGCGGCCGUAACUAUAACGGUCCUAAGGUAGCGAAAUUCCUUGUCGGGUAAGUUCCGACCUGCACGAAUGGCGUAAUGAUGGCCAGGCUGUCUCCACCCGAGACUCAGUGAAAUUGAACUCGCUGUGAAGAUGCAGUGUACCCGCGGCAAGACGGAAAGACCCCGUGAACCUUUACUAUAGCUUGACACUGAACAUUGAGCCUUGAUGUGUAGGAUAGGUGGGAGGCUUUGAAGCGUGGACGCCAGUCUGCGUGGAGCCAACCUUGAAAUACCACCCUUUAAUGUUUGAUGUUCUAACGUUGGCCCCUGACCGGGGUUGCGGACAGUGUCUGGUGGGUAGUUUGACUGGGGCGGUCUCCUCCCAAAGAGUAACGGAGGAGCACGAAGGUUAGCUAAUCCUGGUCGGACAUCAGGAGGUUAGUGCAAUGGCAUAAGCUAGCUUGACUGCGAGCGUGACGGCGCGAGCAGGUGCGAAAGCAGGUCAUAGUGAUCCGGUGGUUCUGAAUGGAAGGGCCAUCGCUCAACGGAUAAAAGGUACUCCGGGGAUAACAGGCUGAUACCGCCCAAGAGUUCAUAUCGACGGCGGUGUUUGGCACCUCGAUGUCGGCUCAUCACAUCCUGGGGCUGAAGUAGGUCCCAAGGGUAUGGCUGUUCGCCAUUUAAAGUGGUACGCGAGCUGGGUUUAGAACGUCGUGAGACAGUUCGGUCCCUAUCUGCCGUGGGCGCUGGAGAAUUGAGGGGGGCUGCUCCUAGUACGAGAGGACCGGAGUGGACGCAUCACUGGUGUUCGGGUUGUCAUGCCAAUGGCAUUGCCCGGUAGCUAAAUGCGGAAGAGAUAAGUGCUGAAAGCAUCUAAGCACGAAACUUGCCCCGAGAUGAGUUCUCCCUGACUCCUUGAGAGUCCUGAAGGAACGUUAAAGACGAUGACGUUGAUAGGUCGGGUGUGUAAGCGUAGCGAUACGUUGAGCUAACCGAUACUAAUGAACCGUGAGGCUUAACCUU
rnacentral:rRNA from 1 species